rnacentral:rRNA from 1 species
UACGUAGGGUGCAAGCGUUGUCCGGAAUUAUUGGGCGUAAAGAGCUCGUAGGCGGUUUGUCGCGUCUGCUGUGAAAACUGGAGGCUCAACCUCCAGCCUGCAGUGGGUACGGGCAGACUAGAGUGCGGUAGGGGAGAUUGGAAUUCCUGGUGUAGCGGUGGAAUGCGCAGACAUCAGGAGGAACACCGAUGGCGAAGGCAGAUCUCUGGGCCGUAACUGACGCUGAGGAGCGAAAGCGUGGGGAGCGAACAGG